rnacentral:misc_RNA from 1 species
GAUGAAGAACGUAGCGAAAUGCGAUAAGUAAUGUGAAUUGCAGAAUUCAGUGAAUCAUCGAAUCUUUGAACGCACCUUGCGCCCUUUGGCCAUUCCGAAGGGCAUGCCUGUUUGAGUAUCAUGAACACCUCAACUCUUUAUGGUUUUCCAUGAUGAGCUUGGACUCUGGGGGUUUUGCUGGCUCACAGUCGGCUCCUCUAAAAUGAAUCAGCUUACCAGUGUUUGGUGGGUAUCAUGGGUGUGAUAACUAUCUACGCUUGUGGUUUUUCCACCAGGUAACCUUCAGCAGUGGAGGUUCGCUGGAGCUCAUAGAUGUCUCUCCUCAGUGAGGACAGCCCUUUGAAUGUUUGAUCUCAAAUCAGGUAGGACUACCCGCUGAACUUAAGCAUAUCAAUAAGCGGAUGA